rnacentral:misc_RNA from 1 species
GAUGAAGAACGCAGCAAAAUGCGAUAAGUAAUGUGAAUUGCAGAAUUCAGUGAAUCAUCGAAUCUUUGAACGCACAUUGCGCCCGCCAGCAUCCUGGCGGGCAUGCCUGUCCGAGCGUCAUUACAACCCUCAGGCCCCCGGGCCUGGCGUUGGGGAUCGGCGGAGCCCCCCGUGGGCACACGCCGUCCCCCAAAUGCAGUGGCGGUCCCGCCGCAGCUUCCAUCGCGUAGUAGCUAACACCUCGCGACUGGAGAGCGGCGCGGCCACGCCGUAAAACACCCAACUCUUCUGAAGUUGACCUCGAAUCAGGUAGGAAUACCCGCUGAACUUAAGCAUAUCAAUAAGCGGAGGA